rnacentral:ncRNA from 1 species
CCCGCUAAAUUUAAGCAGAUGUCUAAGCGGAGGAAAAGAAACUAACCAGGAUUCCCUCAGUAGCGGCUGGCAGAGAGGAA